rnacentral:rRNA from 1 species
UACGUAGGGUGCGAGCGUUGUCCGGAAUUAUUGGGCGUAAAGAGCUUGUAGGCGGUUUGUCGCGUCUGCUGUGAAAUUUCGGGGCUCAACCCCGAACUUGCAGUGGGUACGGGCAGACUAGAGUGUGGUAGGGGAGACUGGAAUUCCUGGUGUAGCGGUGAAAUGCGCAGAUAUCAGGAGGAACACCGAUGGCGAAAGCGGCUCUCUGGAACGGUACUGACGCUGAGACGCGAAAGCGUGGGGAGCGAACAGG